GACGAACGCUGGCGGCGUGCUUAACACAUGCAAGUCGAACGGACAGGCCCUGCUUUUGUGGGUUGCUCGAGUGGCGAACGGGUGAGUAACACGUGAGUAACCUGCCCUUGACUUUGGGAUAACUUCAGGAAACUGGGGCUAAUACCGGAUAGAAGCUCCUGCUGCAUGGGGGGGGUUGGAAAGUUUCGGCGGUUGGGGAUGGACUCGCGGCUUAUCAGCUUGUUGGUGGGGUAGUGGCUUACCAAGGCUUUGACGGGUAGCCGGCCUGAGAGGGUGACCGGCCACAUUGGGCCUGAGGUACGGCCCAGACUCCAACGGGAGGCAGCAGUGGGGAAUAUUGCACAAUGGGCGGAAGCCUGAUGCAGCAACGCCGCGUGCGGGAUGACGGCCUUCGGGUUGUAAACCGCUUUCGCCUGUGACGAAGCGUGAGUGACGGUAAUGGGUAAAGAAGCACCGGCUAACUACGUG
rnacentral:rRNA from 1 species